UACGGAGGGGGCUAGCGUUGUUCGGAAUUACUGGGCGUAAAGCGCACGUAGGCGGCUUUGUAAGUUAGAGGUGAAAGCCCAGGGCUUAACCCUGGAAUUGCCUUUAAGACUGCAUCGCUAGAAUUGUGGAGAGGUAAGUGGAAUUCCGAGUGUAGAGGUGAAAUUCGUAGAUAUCAAGCAGAACACCUGCGGCGAAGGCGGCCUUCUGGACGAUGACUGACGCUGAGACGCGAAAGCGUGGGGAGCAAACAGG
rnacentral:rRNA from 1 species